rnacentral:lncRNA from 1 species
CAGCCCAUGAUGAAAUCAUAUAGUGAGAAUGGAAUCUGAUGAUUGAGUGUGAAGAUUUGAGGAGAAAGAUAUGUAAGAUGUAUGUCCUAGAAGCCAAUACAGCUAACACAUUGUAAUAAAUCUAGGACAUAAUUUUAUCUUUAAUAUAUUGAUAUGAUCAAUAAAAGAGCAAGUUUAUUUUUCAUUCAAAUGUAAUGUAUCCUUGAAU